rnacentral:lncRNA from 1 species
GACAUGAACUGAGAACAGCUAGAGAUGACCCACUUUUCCUGCAAGGCAGAGUCACAGCUGAAGGGAGCAGAUAGGGACGAGGGGAUCCCCAGGCACGGUCUGCCAGCCAGGGAAAGUUCUGAUAGUGGAUUCCUUCCCAGGCUUUCUUUGCUUAGGACAAAGAAAGGUGUGAAGAUCGCAUGGGAUCCAGUCUGCCUUGACUUGGAAAACUGGAAUUCCAUCCGAGCUUGAGUCCAGAAUGGCAGCAAGGGCAUUCAUCCUGGCAGGUUACCGGAAGAAGAGCAUGAGACAAAAGUGCGAAUCUGUGGCAUGCAAUGGGAAAGGUUUUUAUCCAGGUUCAAAGUCUGAUUUGAAACAGUUUGUGUUGCAGUUGUUUAUAGUCGGGAUGUAAGUCUCUCUUCCGAGAAAAAUAAUUUUAAGUGGAAAAAAAAUAAGUUGAGG